ACCUGCUUAAGGGCGUGUUUGUGCACCUGCAUGAGCCAGAAGGGUCAAGGGAACCCAAAAAAGACCCUCAGAGGCUCUCUGGUGCUUAAGAGCUUCUCGUUGGGUGGUGCCGCUGGGAAGAUGGGUGAGGAAUGCAUUAUAAUAGUGGCCUGUUGAAUGCCCUCUCUUUCUCUGCAGACGCCUGUCUGGAGACAGCCUCAUCAAGUCUGGUCUCUGAUGUGUGUUCUCUCUGAUGGGAGACAUCUGGAGCGGCUGUCAGGCCUCCCUGGCAAUAGCGGUACCUACGGCGGCACCUGUCAGCACACCUUAACGGUGUUCCAGUGAUGGCUGCUGCAAGUGGGAAGGUGACGGGGGCAGGCAUGCUUGGGGUCAGGGAGUCUCUUUGCUGCACUGCUCCUUGACCCCUCUACAUGGAAGGAGUUUCACUGUUGUUACCGAGACUGGAGUGCAAUGGCAUGAUCUCAGCUCACCUCAACCUCCGCCUUCUGAGUUCAAGCAAUUCUCCUGCCUCAGCCUCCCGUAGCUGGGACUACAGGUGUGCACCACCAUGCCCAGUUAAUUUUUGUAUUUUUAGUAGAGAUGGGGUUUCACCUUGUUGACCAGGAUGGUCUUGAUCUCUUGACCUCGUGAUCCACCCGCCUCGGCCUCCCAAUGUGCUGGGAUUAUAGGCAUGAGCCACCGUGCCUGGCCUGAGACAAUAUUUCAACACCUGCUCUGUGCCGAGCUUCAUGCCAGGCACCCAAAACAUUAAGACACAGGUGCAGCUUGAUCCCUGGGUACUCUAAG
rnacentral:lncRNA from 13 species